GGGUCGAUGGCGUAGUUGGUUAUCGCAUCUGUCUAACACACAGAAGGUCCUCAGUUCGAGCCUGGGUCAACUCA
rnacentral:tRNA from 1 species